AGCUUUUCUCUCUAUUAGAGAAAGCUGUUUCAUUCAAUAUUCAGUGCAAACCUUGCCAAACUGCAUGAUGCUUAUGCCUUAUGAAACACAAUGUUUUUGCAAUGCUGUAAGACUGUUUUUAAUGUGUUAGAAGUUAUAUGCACAAAAACAGGUUUCUGAGAGCAGUAAUGUUGAAAUACUACUUCUGUUCAAAUGAAGUGAAAUCUAGCCCAAAUCUGCUCAAAAGCUUUUCUCUCUAUUAGAGAAAGCUGUUUCAUUCAAUAUUCAAUGCAAAUCUUGCCAAACUGCAGGAUGCUUAUGCCUUAUGAAACACAAUGUUUUUGCAAAUGCUGUAAGACUGUUUUUAAUGUGUUAGAAGUUAUAUGCACAAAAACAGGUUUCUGAGAGCAGUAAUGUUGAAAUACUGCAUCUGUUCAAAUGAAGUCAAAUCUAGCCCAAAUCUGCUCAAAAGCUUUUCUCUCUAUUAGAGAAAGCUGUUUCAUUCAAUAUUCAGUGCAAACCUUGCCAAACUGCAUGAUGCUUAUGCCUUAUGAAACACAAUGUUUUUGCAAUGCUGUAAGACUGUUUUUAAUGUGUUAGAAGUUAUAUGCACAAAAACAGGUUUCUGAGAGCAGUAAUGUUGAAAUACUACUUCUGUUCAAAUGAAGUGAAAUCUAGCCCAAAUCUGCUCAAAAGCUUUUCUCUCUAUUAGAGAAAGCUGUUUCAUUCAAUAUUCAAUGCAAAUCUUGCCAAACUGCAGGAUGCUUAUGCCUUAUGAAACACAAUGUUUUUGCAAAUGCUGUAAGACUGUUUUUAAUGUGUUAGAAGUUAUAUGCACAAAAACAGGUUUCUGAGAGCAGUAAUGUUGAAAUACUGCAUCUGUUCAAAUGAAGUCAAAUCUAGCCCAAAUCUGCUCAAAAGCUUUUCUCUCUAUUAGAGAAAGCUGUUUCAUUCAAUAUUCAGUGCAAACCUUGCCAAACUGCAUGAUGCUUAUGCCUUAUGAAACACAAUGUUUUUGCAAUGCUGUAAGACUGUUUUUAAUGUGUUAGAAGUUAUAUGCACAAAAACAGGUUUCUGAGAGCAGUAAUGUUGAAAUACUACUUCUGUUCAAAUGAAGUGAAAUCUAGCCCAAAUCUGCUCAAAAGCUUUUCUCUCUAUUAGAGAAAGCUGUUUCAUUCAAUAUUCAAUGCAAAUCUUGCCAAACUGCAGGAUGCUUAUGCCUUAUGAAACACAAUGUUUUUGCAAAUGCUGUAAGACUGUUUUUAAUGUGUUAGAAGUUAUAUGCACAAAAACAGGUUUCUGAGAGCAGUAAUGUUGAAAUACUUGCUUCUGUUCAAAUGAAGUGAAA